rnacentral:rRNA from 1 species
CACGUAGGGUGCAAGCGUUGUCCGGAAUUAUUGGGCGUAAAGGGCUCGUAGGCGGUCCGUCACGUCGGGAGUGAAAACUCGGGGCUCAACCCCGAGCCUGCUUUCGAUACGGGCGGACUAGAGGUAGGUAGGGGAGAACGGAAUUCCUGGUGUAGCGGUGGAAUGCGCAGAUAUCAGGAGGAACACCGGUGGCGAAGGCGGUUCUCUGGGCCUUACCUGACGCUGAGGUGCGAAAGCGUGGGGAGCAAACAGG